rnacentral:rRNA from 1 species
GAUGAACGCUGGCGGCGUGCCUAAUACAUGCAAGUCGAGCGAACUGUUGGGAACUUGCCCCCUCUAGCUAUCGCCGGACGGGUGAGUAACACGCGGGUAUAAUCCCUGUAUGACACUGGUAAAUUCUGGAAAAAGCGGCUAUAACACGGUAACAUAUAAUAAAACAUAUCGUUCAAUUAAAAAAUGGCUUUUUGCUACCACUUAUAGAUGGACCCGCGGCGCAUUAGCUAGUUGGUGAGGUAACGGCUUACCAAGGCGACGAUGCGUAUCCGACCUGAGAGGGUGAUCGGCCACACUGGAACUGAGACACGGCCCAGACUCCUACGGGAGGCAGCAGUAGGGAAUCUUCCGCAAUGGGCGAAAGUCUGACGGAGCAACGCCGCGUGAGUGAAGAAGGCCUUCGGGUCGUAAAGCUCUGUUGUUAGGGAAGAACAAGUAUCGUACGAAUAGGGCGGUACCUGGAGGGUACCAAACCAGAAGGCCAGGCCUAAUUACGG